rnacentral:rRNA from 1 species
CCUACGGGAGGCAGCAGUGAGGAAUAUUGGUCAAUGGGCGAGAGCCUGAACCAGCCAAGUCGCGUGAAGGAUGACGGCCCUACGGGUUGUAAACUUCUUUUGUCAGGGAGCAAUUGAGUCCACGUGUGGGCUUAGCGAGAGUACCUGAAGAAAACGCAUCGGCUAACUCCGUGCCAGCAGGCGCGGUAAUACGGAGGAUGCGAGCGUUAUCCGGAUUUAUUGGGUGUAAAGGGUGCGUAGGCGGAAUAUCAAGUCAGCGGUAAAACUUCGGGGCUCAACCCCGUCGAGCCGUUGAAACUGAGGUUCUUGAGUGGGCGAGAAGUAUGCGGAAUGCGUGGUGUAGCGGUGAAAUGCAUAGAUAUCACGCAGAACUCCGAUUGCGAAGGCAGCAUACCGGCGCUCAACUGACGCUCAUGCACGAAAGUGUGGGUAUCGAACAGGAUUAGAUACCCCAGUAGUC